CAGUGAAGAUAAAGAUCAGCAAGUUUUUGAUGUGCAGGAUCCUCAGACGAGGCAAGCACAGAGCAUACGCUUGAUGAUGGGGAAAGAAGAAGAUAGAUAAAGAAGAUAAACUUUGAAUUGUUUUAUUAAUAAUAACAGACUUUGAACAUGGACAUAUAAACAACUUUGAAAGCUUUAAACAAACAUACAACUUUAUAAAACUUUGAAAUAGAAGAAAAUAUAGACUUACAAGAGGAGUUACAAGAUUUCUCUCUCUCUCUACUCACUCUUUUCACUCUUAUAUUUCUUCGCGUUGAUGAGAACAAGAUAACAUAAGAGCUUAUCUCUCUAUGCUGUCUACUUCAAGUUCUGAGUUCUUUUUUGGAGGUCUACUCUAUAUAUAGAGGUCUCGGAGCUUUGGAUAACUUUCACAGGUUUUGGAUGCUUUGGUUAGUGGAGUAGAAAUGAUUCCAGUUGUCUUCCACUUGUCUUUGAAGUCUUUGGAGUCUUGUGAUAAUGGCAACCACCUCUUGAGAAAGUUGUCGGCCAUGCUUUGAAAGAUUCUUUUGCUUUUUUGACUUUUUCUUUCUCUUUUGACUUUUCUUUUCUUUUUCUUUUCUUUGUCUUUUUCUUUUUCCUUUUCUUUUUCUUUUUCUUUUUCUCUUUAGGCUUUUGAUAUGGGUUUUAAACCCAUUACAAAGAUCCUUGGGCUGCCGUUUCCGGUUUUCAACCCAUGGGCUUUAUUAAGGAGAUAACCUUAUGAGACUUUGAAUAUCCCAUAACAAUCGUCUCUAGCUGAAUCAUCCAAAUCAAAUGCAGCAGUACUGGCACUGGAAGAGGACGAUGAUGAUGCUUUGGAUUUGCCUUUGGAAUAAGCUGUUUCAGACAACUGUUUUAUUAGUUGUAGGAAAUCUUCUUCUGUCUGGGCAGCAGCAAGCUUUGGAAGGAGAAAUGACUUUUGUGCCAAGAACGUUGUUUGUUCUUUAGGGGGAGGCAAGAAGCUCUUUUUGGUAAGGAAUUUUUGAACGGCUUUAAGGGACAGUUUGUCCUGGUGGUUGAAUUUGUCCCACCAUUUUACUUUGAAUCUUCGGAUAAGUGUAAUUUCACCAUAUGGUAAUAGAUUGAAGUGAAAGUACCAUACACAUACCCAGGGCAAAAAGAAGUUUGAACAGAAUAGAAGAAGCGGGGUAAAACGCCUUUCUAUUGAGUUGGGUUUGUAAUUUGCUUUGAAGAGGUUGAACAGGGGUAAGACCUCUGGAAUGAUGGUCUCAGGGACAUUACCG
rnacentral:lncRNA from 1 species